rnacentral:rRNA from 1 species
ACUCCUACGGGAGGCAGCAGUGGGGAAUAUUGCACAAUGGGCGCAAGCCUGAUGGAGCAACACCGCGUGAGUGAAGAAGGGUUUCGGCUCGUAAAGCUCUGUUGUUAAAGAAGAACACGUAUGAGAGUAACUGUUCAUACGUUGACGGUAUUUAACCAGAAAGUCACGGCUAACUACGUGCCAGCAGCCGCGGUAAUACGUAGGUGGCAAGCGUUAUCCGGAUUUAUUGGGGCGUAAAGAGAGUGCAGGCGGUUUUCUAAGUCUGAUGUGAAAGCCUUCGGCUUAACCGGAGAAGUGCAUCGGAAACUGGAUAACUUGAGUGCAGAAGAGGGUAGUGGAACUCCAUGUGUAGCGGUGGAAUGCGUAGAUAUAUGGAAGAACACCAGUGGCGAAGGCGGCUACCUGGUCUGCAACUGACGCUGAGACUCGAAAGCAUGGGUAGCGAACAGGAUUAGAUACCCUGGUAGGCUACCG